rnacentral:lncRNA from 1 species
CCCAUACAAACCCCAUACGGACCCCAUACAGCCGUGCUUUUAGGACUUCCCCCAUACAGACCACAUACAGCCGUGCUUUUAGGGUUUCCCCCAUACAGACCCCAUACAGCCGUGCUUUUGGGAUUUCCCCCAUACAGACCCCAUACAGACACACUUUUAGGGUUUCCCCCAUACAGACCCCAUACAGACCCCAUACAGCCAUGCUUUUAGGAUUUCCCCCAUACAAGCCCCAUACUGUCAUGCUUUUGGGAUUUCCCCCAUACAGAUGUGGUUUUUGGGGUCCCCCCCAUUCAUAUGGGCUUUUUAUGAGGUUCCCCCGUCCAUAUAGGGUUUUUGGGGUCCCCCAUACAAAUGAUGGCAUUUUUUGGGGUCCCCCAUCCGUAUGGGGUUUUUUUGGUGUCUCCUCAUCCAUAUGGGGUUUUGGGGGGCCCUGCAUCCUUAUGGGGUUCUUCCCAUCCAUAUGGAUUUUUUUUGGGUUCCCCCCAUCCAUAUGGGGUUUUUGGGGUCCCUCCAUCCUUCUGGGGUUAUUGGGGUCCCCCAUACAAAUGAUGGCAUUUUUUGGGGUCCCCCCAUCCGUAUGGGGUUUUUUGGAGUCUCCCCAUCCACAUGGGGUCUCCCUCCAUCCUUAUGGGGUUUUUUUUGGGGUCUCCUCAUCCGUAUGGGGUCUUUUUGGGUUCCCCCCAUCCGUAUGGGGUUAUUGGAGUCCCUCCAUCCAUAUGGGGUUUUUAUGAGCUUCCCCCAUCUGUAUGGGGUUUUUUUUGGGGUCUCCUCAUCCAUAUUGGGUUUUUGGGGUCCCUCCAUCCUUAUGGGGUUCCCCCCAUCCAUAUGGGGUUUUUAUGAGGUUCCCCCCAUCCGUAUGGGGGUUUUUGGGGUUCCCCCCAUCCUUCUGGGGUUAUUGGGGUCCCCCAUACAAAUGAUGGCAUUUUUUUGGGGUCCCUCCAUCCAUAUGGGGUUUUUAUGAGGUUCCCCCCAUCCGUAUGGGGUUUUUAGGGUCCCCCAUCCGUACGGGGUUUUUUUUGGGGUCCCCCCCUUCACUCCCUGGCCCUCUGCGCCACCUCCUCCCCCAGCGCCUCCAGCACCUCCCUCUUGUAAUCCUGGAAAUCCCCGUCGAUUUGGUUGAGGCUCUGCUGCUCCACCACCCACAGCUGGCAGCCCGUCUCCGUGAUCAGCCGCGAGUCGUGGCUCACGAUGAUGACGGCU